rnacentral:lncRNA from 1 species
GGGCUCAGGAUUGCUGCAGACCCGUUUGCGAUUUCGUAUACCCCUACUGCAGUCACGACUGCACUGAGACCAUGCAGACCAUGGCGACCAGGCACCAUUGAUGGUGUGAGCAGAAUAUCGUCCAGAACGCAAGAAAUCCCCUGAUAAUCCAUCUGUCGAGCACCCGCUGGUGCCGUCGCUGGAACAAUAACGCAUUUCAAUCCUUUGCCUUCCCACCUCCAGCAAAUUUGGGUCAGGCAAGCGUGCUUUGCAGGUGUAUCGGAAUCGUUGUUCAUAGUGACCACCGUUGUCUGAAAUAUUAACUGGAGUCCAAGGUGUCCAAGGAGUUGUCUUUUUUAACUCUGGACAGGCAUUGGUGUUACAAGGUUGAUAUUCCACACUGCAGCCAGGACAGUCAGGACCAUUUUCACAUGUCCUACGCCGAGCCUGAAUCCCUCCUCCACACUGAGCCGUGCAGCGUUCCCAUGGACCCCAGCUUGUCCAAAACACAUGUGGGGGGCACAACAAAUGCUCAUUGCAGUACCUCUCCUCACGAUUCUGUCCCACACAGACACGUCCUCCAUGGCGAGGGGUUGGAUUGCUGCAGGAGCGCUGACGAACUUGAAAGCCUAUUCCACAGGUGGUACUACAAGGUGACCAAGAAGUCCAUGGUGUCCAGCCUCCAUUUCUGGAACAGUUGGCAAUUUCCAUGGUUGGUCCUUCACAUAGCCACCCUCCGCACUGAGGAGCUGGACUGUCGCACACACGG